rnacentral:rRNA from 1 species
GGACUUAAGACCAACGACAUACAUCAUGUGUGGAACCAUGGCCCCAAGCACGGAGGAGGAUUUCAUUGUCGGUAUUGCAACAUGAAGAAUUCUGGAGGAGGUGCAACCCGCUUCAAAGAGCAUCUUGGCAAGAUAGUAGGUGAAGUGAAGGAGUGCCCAAAUGUUCCAAGAAAUGUGCAUGAUAUAAUGAGGAAGGCCGUGCUUGAGUUGAGGAAAAAGAAGAGGGAGAAGGAAAGUCGUAAGCUUAGAUUUGAACGUGAGUUGAUGGAUGAGAUGUACCAGAGAAAUGGUGUGAUAAAUAUUGAUGAUGAUAAAGAUGAAGAAAUUCAUAUGGCACUACGGGAGUCACUAAGAGACAGGAAUGUAUCUCGUGCAGUUGAGAGGAGGCGUGGUAGUGGCAGUGGUGUUCGUGUUUCCCUUGGGAAACAGAGUAUCACAGCCUACUUUGACAAGCAAUUGUCGAGCAACAAAGUAUCAAUGCAACCCAAGAUCAGCACUGCUAUGGAUAGCAGCUCAAGGGAUGCUGUUGGCCAAGCUUGGGCGAAGUUUUUUCAUGCAAAUGACAUCGCUGGUCGAAAAGCUGACUGUCCAUAUUUUCAGGCUGCCAUGAAGAUCACUCAAAAUCUUGGUGCUGCUCCUAUUCCAACUGGAAAAGAGAUUGAUGGGAAGUAUUUAGACAAAAAUUAUGAAGAGUCUCGAGAGUGGCUGAAGCUAUUCAAGCAAGAUUGGAAGAACUAUGGUGUAACUGUUAUGUGUGACUCCUGGACUGGGCCUACUGGCAUGAGUCUUAUCAAUUUCAUGGUCUAUUGCAAUACACGGAUGUUCUUCCAUAAAUCCAUUGAUGCUUCUGGCCAGUCUCAAAAUUCAGCACUUAUAGGGAAUGUCGUGGGAGGUUUAGGCAUAGUUUGGCACGCUCUUCCGCAGAAAGAAUGGCACCAAGUAAACCACGAUACUUAUCUCCAUUGA